rnacentral:misc_RNA from 1 species
AUCAUUAAACAUAUUCCAAAUGUGAACCUAUUUUUAGAAAUGGCCCAACUAUGUACUAUGCAGUUCAGAGCUCCAAUAUCUGAGCUAGAGCAGGCAAACUAGAAGUACUAAUGCAUGUAUUUCACAAGUCACAGAAGCCAUUUCGCGUUCUUUGUUUACUGAAACAGAAAGAACCAUUGGGACAAUGAUGGCAUACCUCCCAAUUGUAAAUCGUCUAUCAAGCAGUCGUUAGUAUUGCAUAUUUGCUUAACUAGUCACUCACUACUGUAUCUUCCAUCUCCAAAAGGUCUCCGUCCUUCCAUAGCUUCUUUCUUCUCUUGGCAGCUUGAGCAAAGGAAAGGGCCGUCCCAUGGUCGUGAACUUCUUGUAUUCGAGGAGCCAGCAUGUAUGGAAACACCUUGUCCGGGCUUUAUCUCUACUUGACAGACAGCACAUAUGAAUAACUUAAACAUGUUGCAGACUGGAUAUUUUGCAUCUAACCUGUCUGAAAGUGAUGCCGAUCCCUCCUCAAAUAGUUCUUCCACAACAUCCGGUUCACAAAAAUCUUUCUGAAUAUUAGAAGAUGACUCAGAAGUCUUCUUGCGAAACAUAGACUUGAAUACUCCUUUUCCUGACCUUUUGGGUGGUGGUGGCGGAGGAGGAUUUGAUUUUUCUGGGAGCUGUAUAUCGACCACAAUACAGGUUGUAUCAUCUCGAAUCCCUUUUGGCUGUACGGCGUCUUUAACAAUUUGAGAAGCUGCAGCAUCUGCAGGCAUUCCACGACUACAUUCAAUAGCCGAUUCAGCAGACAAAGCAUCCCAGACGCCGUCACUUGCUAUUACUAGCCUUCCACCAGCUGAUGUUAGCUUUACUUGCUUCACAUAGGGUACAGGAACUAUAUAUUCGCCAACAUCCAUAUCUCCAAUGGAUCUCGAGAGGCAGAGUCCACCAGGCCAACAUCUCAAAGGA